rnacentral:rRNA from 1 species
UGAGGAAUAUUGGUCAAUGGGCGAGAGCCUGAACCAGCCAAGUAGCGUGCAGGAUGACGGCCCUAUGGGUUGUAAACUGCUUUUAUGUGGGGAUAAAGUGCGUGACGUGUCAUGCAUUGCAGGUACCACAUGAAUAAGGACCGGGUAAUUCCGUGCCAGCAGCCGCGGUAAUACGGAAGGGCCGGGCGUUAUCCGGAUUUAUUGGGUUUAAAGGGAGCGUAGGCUGUCUAUUAAGCGUGUUGUGAAAUUUACCGGCUCAACCGGUGGCUUGCAGCGCGAACUGGUCGACUUGAGUAUGCAGGAAGUAGGCGGAAUUCAUGGUGUAGCGGUGAAAUGCUUAGAUAUCAUGACGAACUCCGAUUGCGCAGGCAGCUUUCUGUAGCAUAACUGACGCUGAUGCUCGAAAGUGCGGGUAUCAAACAGU